CAGUAGCCGCGGGAAUACGUAGGGUGCGAGCGUUAAUCGGAAUUACUGGGCGUAAAGCGUGCGUAGGUGGUGGUUUAAGUCCGUUGUGAAAGCCCUGGGCUCAACCUGGGAAUUGCAGUGGAUACUGGGUCACUAGAGUGUGGUAGAGGAUAGUGGAAUUUCCGGUGUAGCAGUGAAAUGCGUAGAGAUCGGGAGGAACAUCAGUGGCGAAGGCGGCCAUCUGGGACAACACUGACGCUGAGGCACGAAAGCGUGGGGAGCAAACAGGAUUAGAUACCCCCGUAGUCCCUGUCUCUUAUAC
rnacentral:rRNA from 1 species